GCCAAAUCAUAGCUCCCUCCUGUUCCCCGGCAAUUCGGUCUGCUUUCAGGGAGGGUUUUGCUCGCUGCAGGCAGCCAGUUCUGCCCCUGAGCAGCUUGGCACCUUGGAGCCUCUUCUCAGCCAGGUAAGAGAACAACAAGUACUAAUUGCCACCUCAAAGAUGCAUCACCUGCAAUAUUGGACAAACGGAGAUGCCAUGAUCCACAUCCACAAAAUGAUCCGUGAGCUGGAGGGCCAAGGCAUGGUCAGCAAGGCCCACUCACCCUUCAACAGCCCCACUUGGCCUGUGCAUGAGUCUGAUGGAGAAUGGAGAUUGACUGUGGACAAUUGUGCCUUGAAUGAAGAGACUCCCCUGCUGAGCGCUGCUGUGCGGACACGCUGGAGCUCAAGUACGAGCUGGAGUGCAAGGCAGCAGAGUGGUACACCCCCUAAUUCAAGUCAUAAUAAUUUGGAGGGAGAGGGCUAUUUCUCCAUUUCAGGAAGAUUCCCAGCUUUCUUGGAAGGCAUGUGUCUUUUAAACUAGGACAGUCUUCUAUCAUUAAUGGAGAAAUUGACCUAGGAGGUAAAGGAACUCGCAGAAUUGCAGCUUCAGCCCUUGCCUGGGAGUUGUUUCUGAUCUUCACAAAACAGGGGCUUCUAUGGAUUGAAGAAUAGUCUUUGAAUGAUCUCUACAGACCAGCUUUUACCUCCCUCAGAGUGCUCCUUCCCACAGUAUGUCCCACCAGUCUGGCACAGUUUCUGUGCAGGUGACAUCCACUGCCACCAACAACAGGACCACUUUACCCACCACCAGUGAGAGGGAGCAUGGAUCAUUCCAUUUUUCCCCACAUAAGAUAUGGAGCUGAAAUCCCUGUUGUAAAUCCUGCCAAUUCUUUCUGAAUCUGUACAUAGAAGCAAAGACUCCUUGCACAGAAUGUACCUUCUUGGAACCCUGGUGAUCAGUGGCACAAAGUCUAGCGGUGGACCCUGGAAGGACAAUGCUGAGUGCAGUCCUUUCUGACACCUUUGUUAGUAAACUGGGUGAUGGGGUGCCCUAGUGUAAUAAAUAGCUGUGAUUCAUGCAGAUACAAUUGAAACAGUAAUUAAUAUUGAUACAGAAAUUAAUAUCUAGAAAUAAUAAAAUGGUUAAAGGUGUAAUGCCAAGAAAGAAAGGGAGAGGAGGGCCCCCUGCUCUUCUCCUGCUGAUGUUCAGAAGAGGAAAAAGCAAAAGAUAACUAUUACUAAAUUUAGUUGGAAGAAGAAGAAAAUUUGGUUGGACAUCCAGAAAAAUGUUAAUUAUAUGAGAUUUAUUGCUUUGAUACUAGAACAUCAUAUUGGCUUGUAUGAUAUUAGCUUUGGUUUACAUUAUACCAGCUUGGUGCGCAGGUGUAAUCCAAAAGGUGAAUCAAAGGACAUUGAGGAAGAGGAGAGGCCUUCAUCAGAGAUGACCCCAAAGAACAGUGCGACCACCUAAAUAUGGUGGAGCAUGCGUAGUAAAGGUGAUGGUGAGGGUGUAGAUACAAGUGUGACAAAUCAAAAAUGGGAGGAGAUGGUGAUGAUGUACAGUAUAAAAAGGGGAAUUUUGGGCUUGGCAAUUCGUACGUGAGGGGACAGGGGUCAAGCCCUGCCCACCAUACCCCACGCAUACCCCACGUGGUUAUUUUUUCUUAUGCGCUAUUAUAAGAACCAAAUUAUCCCUUAUCAUAACCACAUUAUAUUGUCAAUAUUUUGAGUGUAUUCAAUUUUAUAUAUUUUAAGCUACUUAAUUAAAAUUGCUACUACAUUUAA